GACGAACGCUGGCGGCGUGCUUAACACAUGCAAGUCGAACGGACAGGCCCUGCUUUUGUUGGGUGCUCGAGUGGCGAACGGGUGAGUAACACGUGAGUAACCUGCCCUUGACUGUGUGAUAACUUCAGGAAACUGGGGCUAAUACCGGGUAUGAGCUCCUGCUGCAUGGUGGUGGUUGGAAAGUUUCGGCGGUUGGGGAUGGACUCGCGGCUUAUCAGCUGGUUGGUGGGGUAGUGGCUUACCAAGGGUUUGACGGGUAGCCGGCCUGAGAGGGUGACCGGCGACAUUGGGACUGAGAUACGGCCCAGAAUCCUACGGGAGGCAGCAGUGGGGAAUAUUGCACAAUGGGCGGAAGCCUGAUGCGGCAACGCCGCGUGCGGGAUGACGGCCUUCGGGUGGUAAACAGCUUUCGAAUGUGACGAAGCGUGAGUGACGGUAAUGGGUAAGGAAGCAACGGCUAACUACGUG
rnacentral:rRNA from 1 species